rnacentral:rRNA from 1 species
GUCCACGCCGUAAACGAUGAAUACUAGGUGUAGGGUUGUCAUGACCUCUGUGCCGCCGCUAACGCAUUAAGUAUUCCGCCUGGGGAGUACGGUCGCAAGAUUAAACUCAAAGGAAUUGACGGGGCCCGCACAAGCAGCGGAGCAUGUGGUUUAAUUCGAAGCAACGCGAAGAACCUUACCUAGACUUGACAUCUCCUGCAUUACCCCUUAAUCGGGGGAAGUUCCUUCGGGAACAGGAAGACAGGUGGUGCAUGGUUGUCGU